GAUGAACGCUGGCGGCGUGCCUAAUACAUGCAAGUCGAGCGAACAGACGAGGAGCUUGCUCCUCUGACUUUAUCGGCGGACGGGUGAGUAACACGUGGAUAACCUACCUAUGAGACUGGGAUAACUUCGGGAAACCGGAGCUAAUACCGGAUAAUAUAUUGAACCGCAUGGUUCAAUAGUGAAAGACGGUUUUGCUGUCACUUAUAGAUGGAUCCGCGCCGCAUUAGCUAGUUGGUAAGGUAACGGCUUACCAAGGCAACGAUGCGGAGCCGACCUGAGAGGGUGAUCGGCCACACUGGCACUGAGACACGGUACCGACUCCUACGGGAGGCAGCAGUAGGGACUCUUCCGCAAUGGGCGAAAGCCUGACGGAGCAACGCCGCGUGAGUGAUGAAGGUCUUCGGAUCGUAAAACUCUGUUAUUAGGGAAGAACAAAUGUGUAAGUAACUAUGCACGUCUUGACGGUACCUAAUCAGAAAGCCACGGCUAACUACGUG
rnacentral:rRNA from 1 species